AAAUGUGCCUGAACGUAAAGGGUCACUAUGAUAAAGUGAACAUAGAGAUAUACCAGCCCCU
rnacentral:tRNA from 1 species